UGCCCGUGUGAGACAAACUCCGCAGCAGCUGCCGAUGGCAGUAUGCUACUACUUGCAGUUGCUAGCAGGCAUGCUAACAACCAACAAGCCUGCGACAGCAACUGUCUGUAGUGCCUGUGGUAUCUAAUGUGAUGCUAGCCGACAGAAGCUGCUACUGACUGUAUGCACAGCUCAAGCGAGAGAGAGAGAGAGAGAGACUGUGAUACGGUUGCCACCCUGGAUUUGUGGGAAAAAAAGGACACUCGACUAGCUGACAGAUUAAUAUUGCCGUUCAUAGUCCUGCUACUAGCCUGGAUAAAGUCUAAGCUGCCCGAAACAGAAAGUGGGCCUUGGAGGACCAUAAAGUCAGAGACCCAUCCAUGGAGGAGGCUGUUGGAAAGACCCCCACCCAACAAAUGGUUCAGUCCAUCCCCACCUGACCACAACUGCUCCAAGGGGAAAUGUUUUUUUUGACCAGACAAGUCUGUUGGACUGGGAGGUCUUGCCUUUCUCUGAAAGUCUGACUGAGUUUUUGUGUGAGGAAAACAAAAGAUUUAGACAUUGUUUGUGAAACAACGCCACAUCUAAAUGUGCAAAAUCAGAAAGAAACAGCAAAAAACAACCUGGAAAUCAGAUCACAAGUCAAGAACUUACCAAUUGCCUCAUCUCCUGUUUGUCAAACUAACACAGAGAUAACUUUUGGCUGCAACUGUCAUUUUCUCUUCCCCCAACUGCUCUCCACUUGAUCGGCUGUAACAUAAGUUUGCUAGUGAUUGGGUACUGCUGCUACAUCCAAAGACCAAAUUAAAAUAUCAAAUUCUUGACAGACUUUCGUUUAUUUUUUGUAUUAUUAGGGCCCGAGCACUAUCUGUGCGAGGACCAUGUUGUUUCUGUAAGUUCAAAUUGUUCAUAGAGUAAAACCACAAGCUGCACACACACUUUUUCCUUUGCUGUGAUCACAUUAAAAACAUAAACAUUAAUAUUUAAAGUUCAGAGAGCAUAUUGAGGCUCGCACUGAAUUAGCUGAAAAGGGGAAGUGAGAGAGGAAAAAAAGCAUUCAGAGAAAAAUCUGACCAUUACUGUUGCAGCUGAGGAGCCUGUUAACUGUCCUGACUAAAAGGCCUUUCGGAUUUAUUUCUAGUACAUAUUAUGCAUGUACUAGUGCCCCAGUAUGUAUGAAUUUAUUUCUUACCUUUUUAUUAGAUAUUGUUUAUUUUGUACAUUUAUUAAUGUGUAUGGAUUAGGCUGUUGUGACACGCAGAUAUCCCUGUUUGCAGGACCAAUAAAGGAAUUCUCAUUCUCA